GGAAGGGUACAGCUCAGUGUCAGAGCAUGUGCUUAGUGUGCACAAGGUCCUGGGUUCAACUCCCAGUAUCUCCA
rnacentral:tRNA from 1 species